AUUGAACGCUGGCGGCAGGCCUAACACAUGCAAGUCGAACGCGUGGCGGACGGGAGAGUCAUGCUUGUGACUCUACCUUAUGGCGGGGGUUAACUACGGGAACCUGUACCAAUUCCCGCUAACCUUAGGCUGAGCCCAAGUGGGAUUAGGUAGUUGGUGAGGUAAAGGAUCACCAAGCCAACGAUCGCUAGCGGGUCUGAGAGGAUGACCAGCCACACUGGAACUGAGACACGGCCCAGACGCCUACGGGAGGCAGCAGUGGGGAAUAUUGCGCAAUGGGGGCAACCUGACGCAGCCAUGCCGCGUGAAUGAAGAAGGCCUUCGGGUUGUAAAGUUCUGUCGGUAGCGAGGCGUUAACUACAGAAGAAGCACCGGCUAACUCCGUGCCAGCAGCCGCGGUAAUAC
rnacentral:rRNA from 1 species